AACCAAGAAAUUUAGUCAUUCUUUUUCGGUAAAAAGACAGUUAGGCAGAAAAGAGACCAUUAGACCUUUAAUAUAGGGGUAAAAUCUAUAUACUAAAAGUUAUUUUAAUUGUGGUUAUAUUAUAGAUGCUGAAUCUGUGACAACUUUAAGGGAAACUGGGAUUGGAUACCCCACUAUUUCUAGUAGUAAAUUUAAUUUAGGUUUACCAGAGUACUACGAAUAAAAAGUUUAAAACUCAAAGAGCUUGGCGGUGUUUUAGACCUCUCAGGGGAACCUGUCUCAUAAUCGACAAUCCACGUUAGACCUGACCCUUUAUGGCAAUUCAGCCUGUAUACCGUCGUCGUCAGGUAACUUCUUAAAAUAUAGUAGUUAGCCCGAUAAUUUUAUUAAUUAAUACGUCAGAUCAAGGUGCAGCUAAUAAAAGGGAGAGGAUGGGUUACAAUUAUAGAUUUAUA
rnacentral:rRNA from 1 species